AUUGAACGCUGGCGGCAGGCCUAACACAUGCAAGUCGAGCGGAUGAGGGUAGCUUGCUACCUGAUUCAGCGGCGGACGGGUGAGUAAUGCCUAGGAAUCUGCCCGAUAGUGGGGGACAACGUUUCGAAAGGAACGCUAAUACCGCAUACGUCCUACGGGAGAAAGUGGGGGAUCUUCGGACCUCACGCUAUCGGAUGAGCCUAGGUCGGAUUAGCUAGUUGGUGAGGUAAUGGCUCACCAAGGCUACGAUCCGUAACUGGUCUGAGAGGAUGAUCAGUCACACUGGAACUGAGACACGGUCCAGACUCCUACGGGAGGCAGCAGUGGGGAAUAUUGGACAAUGGGCGAAAGCCUGAUCCAGCCAUGCCGCGUGUGUGAAGAAGGUCUUCGGAUUGUAAAGCACUUUAAGUUGGGAGGAAGGGCUGUAGGCUAAUAUCCUGCAGUUUUGACGUUACCAACAGAAUAAGCACCGGCUAACUCGUGCUAGCCGCCGCCGUAA
rnacentral:rRNA from 1 species